CUAAGUACCCCGAGGAAAAGAAAUCAACCGAGAUUCCCCCAGUAGCGGCGAGCGAACGGGGAGGAGCCCAGAGCCUGAAUCAGUGUGUGUGUUAGUGGAAGCGUCUGGAAAGGCGCGCGAUACAGGGUGACAGCCCCGUACACAAAAAUGCACAUACUGUGAGCUCGAUGAGUAGGGCGGGACACGUGGUAUCCUGUCUGAAUAUGGGGGGACCAUCCUCCAAGGCUAAAUACUCCUGACUGACCGAUAGUGAACCAGUACCGUGAGGGAAAGGCGAAAAGAACCCCGGCGAGGGGAGUGAAAAAGAACCUGAAACCGUGUACGUACAAGCAGUGGGAGCCUCUUAAUGGGGUGACUGCGUACCUUUUGUAUAAUGGGUCAGCGACUUAUAUUCUGUAGCAAGGUUAACCGAAUAGGGGAGCCGAAGGGAAACCGAGUCUUAACUGGGCGUUAAGUUGCAGGGUAUAGACCCGAAACCCGGUGAUCUAGCCAUGGGCAGGUUGAAGGUUGGGUAACACUAACUGGAGGACCGAACCGACUAAUGUUGAAAAAUUAGCGGAUGACUUGUGGCUGGGGGUGAAAGGCCAAUCAAACCGGGAGAUAGCUGGUUCUCCCCGAAAGCUAUUUAGGUAGCGCCUCGUGAAUUCAUCUCCGGGGGUAGAGCACUGUUUCGGCAAGGGGGUCAUCCCGACUUACCAACCCGAUGCAAACUGCGAAUACCGGAGAAUGUUAUCACGGGAGACACACGGCGGGUGCUAACGUCCGUCGUGAAGAGGGAAACAACCCAGACCGCCAGCUAAGGUCCCAAAGUCAUGGUUAAGUGGGAAACGAUGUGGGAAGGCCCAGACAGCCAGGAUGUUGGCUUAGAAGCAGCCAUCAUUUAAAGAAAGCGUAAUAGCUCACUGGUCGAGUCGGCCUGCGCGGAAGAUGUAACGGGGCUAAACCAUGCACCGAAGCUGCGGCAGCGACACUAUGUGUUGUUGGGUAGGGGAGCG
rnacentral:rRNA from 1 species